GAUGAAGAACGCAGCGAAAUGCGAUAAGUAAUGUGAAUUGCAGAAUUCAGUGAAUCAUCGAAUCUUUGAACGCACCUUGCGCUCCUUGGUAUUCCGAGGAGCAUGCCUGUUUGAGUGUCAUGAAUCUCUCAAACUCUUAGUUUCAUUACUGAGUGUUUGGAUUUGGAGGUCUAUGCUGGCGCAAGUCAGCUCCUCUUAAAUACAUUAGCUUGGGUCUUGCAUGUCUGGAUCCUUGGUGUGAUAAUUAUCUACGCCAUGAUGUCCCUUCAAGCCCUGCUUCUAAUCGUCUGAAUAAGACAAUUUAUUACUUGACAUCUGACCUCAAAUCAGGUAGGACUACCCGCUGAACUUAAGCAUAUCAAUAAGCGGAGGA
rnacentral:misc_RNA from 1 species